UUUCUCUAUAAAAGACGUAAUUUCGAUCGUCAUUUUUAUAUACUUUGGCAGGGUUUCAGAUCCUUUGUGUGGACUGCAAUUUCUUACAAGAUGAAAGACAUACUGAAGUUAUCGUCGUCUUCAUCACAGUUUCUAGUUUCUGUUGCUCAUUCUCCAUGGAGUAUCAAACCAAUUUAUGGAUACACAUAGCUGGACUCACAAGAACAUUUGGGCAUUAUGUGUGAGAUCAUACUGUUUCUGAUAUUGAUGCAUGAAGGUGCAUAACUUGUUGAGCAACACAAGGCAAAUAUGAUAUUACUCUUGGUGUUUCCCUUGGUUCAGCAACCCAGAUCUCCAUGUUUGUUGUUCCAUUAUAUGUUAUGGUGGCUUGGAUAACGGGAAUCAAGAUGGAUCUUGAUCUUAAUCUGUUAGAAAUUGGCUCAUUGAUCAUGGCAAUACUAGUAAUAGCAUUCACGUUACAGGAUGGAACUUCACAUUACUUAAAGGGGCUUGUUCCCUUGCUGUGCUACUUGUCAAUUGGUGCAUGCUUCUUUGUUUUCAAAUCCCCAC